UAUGUUAUAAGAGAGCUGCGUUUUCCAAUACUGCGCAGUGCGCUCAGAUUCACAGACAAGAGAGGAACGGACUUGGACGCACGUCAAGAGAGCCACCGACCGAUGCGACGCUAGCGUGCCAAAAACACUCCAGAAAAAAAACAGAAGAAAUGGAGAAACGAAAGGAACAUGAGUUGAAAAUUCAAGAAAAUGGAAAGACAAGCAAAUCACCGAAACUAUGUGGGACCAACUACCCUGUCAGCAUCUCCUUUAUAGUGGUGAAUGAGUUCUGUGAACGCUUCUCCUACUAUGGCAUGAAAGGUAUAGUAACCUAUAGUUAAGAAUGUUUCUCCUAACU